AGGUGGGUGUGGCUUCCUUUGUGUCGAGGUGUGGCCACAUGACCUAAACUCUGACCAGUUGGCUGUGAGCAGAAGUGGUGUGUAUAAAUUCUAGGAAGUGCCUUAAAAGGAAGGGACAUACUCUCCCCUGUUCCUUUCCUGGACUAUGCAGAUGAAAGCCACUACACUUGGGUUAGUGGAGACACAGACAGAAGGAACCUAGACCCCUGACAGCAUAGAGCCACCAUAUUGGAGCCACCAUAUUGAAGCCGCCAUAUUGACUUUGAAUGGCUUAUCGCCAGAAGGUUACAUGCUGAUCCUUGCCCGGCUGGCUCCAAGCUGCCACUGACAUUUUCCUGGACUCAUCUGCUUUUCAGGCAGAUUCUUGAUCUCCCAGUUUGAAUCAGGCUUACUGGAGCUGAAGGAGAAAGUCCUGAGUUACUCUGUUCAUGUAGAGGGCUAUCCUUCCAGUGAGAGCACUUCUUCAUAGUUCCAUUUUAAGGAUGAACUGAGAAGGAAGUCAGAAAAUUCAGAACCCUCAUCUCUCCAGGGCUGGGACAACGGUGCUCCUCUGCUCCAGUCUAAGGAAACCUACGCAAGGAUGCCGCCUCCCACCUCCGCUACCUUGGAAACCAGACAAGUUGUAAGAAAAGUUCUAGUUGAUUGUUUCGCUGGCCAGUGAGGAGCUUAAAAGAAAAUUUAAGAGUUUAAAUUCCUGUCAUGGAAAUACUUUUAUCUUCUGAUCUCCAUAUACUCUUUAAGAGAAAGAUUUAUGAGAAUCUGUGUUUCUUCAGGGUGGGACAGUUUGGUCCAUGGCUUGCAAAGCUAGAGAAUUUCAAAAAUCAAAUUGUUGUCUUUAAAAAAUAUCAAACUUGGAACUGGAUUAGAACUAAACACAUCAAUGGAAUGAGCUUAAGAGAGCAAGAAAAUGAUUACAAGAUAGCGAUGGAGCGAUGGAAUGUACCAGCCUCCCCAUGCCAGAUCGGAGAGAAACUGAGGAGCUGAAAACAAAGACAAUAUCCAACCCCAGUGGCUCCUCCCAGAGCAUGUGCAGGGAUUGGGACAUUAAAGCUGGGGUUAAAAUGCCUGGGGAGGGUUAAGACAGGUUGAUAUUUUAAUUCCAUCUGGGAAAGACCCAGGAGUCAGAGUUAUAUUUUCUCUUUUCCUUUCUCUUUACCCAAGCAGUAACAAUAUUGGAGCAGGAAGAAUCUAUGCUUAUUGUCUGGUGAUUGUAAUCAUCCAUUUUCCUUAUGCCUAUGAAACACAGGAUAGAGUUUUUGAAGGGAUGUUGAGAGUUGCCUUCAAAUUGUUCCAUGAGGGAAACAGAAGAUGCUGCCCAGGACAAGAAAUAGAGAAUUGGAUCAAAUCACUGAUUGUCAACACUAGUUGCUUCUUAAAAUGACCUGGGGAACUUUUAAAACUCCUGUAUCUAGACUUCAUCCCAGAAAAAUUAAAUAGAACCUGGCACCAGGGCCUUAAAACUCCCCAGAUGAUUACAACAUGCAACCAGAUUGAAAAUCACUGGAUUCCGUGAACUCUGAUCUCUAAAACUCCCUCACAUUUCUGUGUUUGAAACUAGCAAUCUAGGAACAAAACCAUCUGCAGCUGGCAAGAUUUUUCUGCAACUGGAAAAACUCAGAACCUGUGACUCUUGUUCAUGAGCACAUGCCUGGAUGUAGUCAUUUUGAGUUUAUGGAAAAUGUGGUCAGCCCCAUAAAUCACUGCAGAGGAAUUCUUACAGAGUCAUCCACCGUGCAAAGAAGGCAGAGGUCCUUAACAGAGGGAGGCAGGAGGAUCCGAGUCAGAGAAAGAGAUGGAGAAACAGAAGCAGAGUCAGAGUGAUCCCAUGUGAGAAGGACUGAACCCAUGGUAGCUGGCUUUGGGGAGGAAAGGGGGCCACAAGCCAAUGAGCGGGCAGCUUCUGGAGUCUGGAAAAGAUGAGGAGAUGGAUUCUCUCCUAGAGCCUCCAGAAGGAGUGCAGCCCUGGCCUUGCUGUCAUCUUAGUCCAAUGAGACCCAUUUUGGGCUUCUGACCCUUAGAACUCUAAGACAAUAAAUUUGUGCAGUCUUAAGACA